CUUCACUGAGAUCUUCGGACGAGGCCAACGGAGGCAAUUUCCUCACGUGUUCCGCACGCUUGUCCAUGUCACGCUAGCGGCACGGUUGCCUGAAACCAUCAUUGCACAGGUAUAUUCAUUUACGACAUAAAAGAAAAAACGGUUUAUUAUAUGCAGUUUCUUAAUCGCGUCGGUCUGGCCCCUCAAAAAACAAACAGAAGGUACGAUGUUUCAUACCAAUCGAAGUUCUACACAUUUUUAUACUCAACAUCACACUCAACUGUGUGUUAUUCCUACAGAAGCCAUCAUGCGAUGUGGUUGACGGCUGUACAUUUGUGCAAGACGAAAGUUAACAAGUACUUGAUUUUAUGAUAAAUAAACCAAACGACAAACGUAGCACGCUCAGGACCGUAUUUAAGGACAUCCAAUUUUUGAUACAUUCAGGGACCAGGCAGCAGUGUAAUAUUAUAUAAAUACAGUUUUUUUUUUGAAAGAGUUGGUAAGAAUUGGUACCUAUGAGGAGUUUUUGUAUUACAUGACUAUAUGAUACGGUAACAUGGCGUAAUUUACUCAUUUUGUCAAUCAAUGAUAAUUAUAAUUAUUCAGUUUUGUAAUUUUUUUUGUAGUUUACAAUUUUAUGUUGUUAUACAUUUUUACAUUAAUUAAAACAAUGUCACAUCAUUAUCUGUGUUUUCAAUAACAUUUUCAUAAGUAAAAAAUUAUAACUAAAUUGUUAUUAAAAAACAGGUUAAUUUUUUUUAUUUUGGUGGGAGGCGUACAAAUAUUGUCUACCCAGGGCGCAAUAAGUGUGAAUACGGCCCGGAUCACGUUACUCAAUAUUUUCCACUUCGGAGAAAAUUUACGAAUCAUAAAUAUAUAUUAGUGCCUAUAAGUAACCAUGAAUUGUAUAUUAUAUAUUAUACCUAGUGGGAAUAAGGUAAUUUUCAUAUUUUAUCCGUUCCUAUGGCGAUAAACAAGCGUUGCUCAAAAUCCGUUAGAGAAUAAAAAUAUCUGUAUCAAACCCAAAAACAUAAAAUAAUAUUUUGUCAUUGAUAUAAUUCCAGGAAACCCGUGUUCCUACUUACAAGCAGACUGCAGGUCUCGUUUAUGCGCAUUGAAACAUCAAUAUCAAUAUAAUAUUAUGUUAAAAUAUGCAGUCAACGAUCGCGCGUUGUGUCUGCUCGUCAUGGCCAUCAUCCAUCUUCCGGCUGUAUAUUGUAUAUUAUGUACCACGUUCAAUACAUAAUAAUAUAGCUGAUGCUGCCGUUUCGCGAUUAGUUCGAGAUACGUGCAGUGCGUUCGGUCUAAAAGAUAUGACGAUCGCCGGGCAAAAUCGGAGACCAGCGAGGGUAUCCCUCGGCCGCACCACCCCACCCCGUGGCGAAGGGUUGCGCGUAUAUAGAUUAUAUGGUUACCGGAGUAAUAAUAUAGAUCGCAGUCAUUAUAUAAGAGGACACCACACCCACGUCCGUAGUUUACUCCAGUCUCGAGACGUUUGUUUUUUUAUUUAAAAGGGAGUUAUGAGCAUUUUUAAAUUGCUUUUUUAUUUACAUUUUUACAUUUAACGCUUAUAAUUCGUUUUACACCUAUAAUGUAUCGUGAGACACUUCUACCCAUACAACAGAGAAAAUUUUGAUAUCGCUACAUUUUACACACGCUAUUGCAAGACGCGGAGACAACAAAUUCGCGGGUGUGGCAUGGGUGCACAAAGAUUAUAUUUUUGAAGAGAGAGGGAAAUAAAAAUGUUCCCGAAAUGUCAGCUGAAAUAAAAAACUUACGUACCUAAGUUGACAAAACAACAAAAACCGUGUAUAAUUGUAUAAUAGGUACACUUAUUUCAUGUAUAAGAUACCUAGUGAAGAUAGUGCAGAUUAGAACAAAUUUUGUGCGCUGUCUAUGUGAUAUCGUGGAAAUAGGUAUUUAUUAAAUAUUAUGUUCAUAUUUUCCAAGGGAGGUGGACGUAUGGUCCGUUUUUUCCUCCCUAAUGGGCACCCUUGGGGCGUGGCGUCCUCUUAACGCGUGUGUGUAUCAUAUUGUAUUAUCUUCUAUAUUACGUAUAAUGUUAAACUAUUGUAUUGUAUCACUACCGUAUUGUUUAAUAAUAGUUCUUCGCCACGGAUGGACAAUAAUAACAAUAAUCACCCGUGCUUAUUGUCUUGCAACCGACACGUUGCCGAUUUACCCAUUAAACUAUACUAUUUAGCCACGCCCGCGGAAUUAAUAUUAUUCGUUUCCGAAAUAAUUUCCGCGUAGUCUUCCGAAAUCUAAUACCACCGAUCCAAAACACCGUUUUCCGCGACCGGGUGAUAAAUCGUCUUAAAAUACAAUACAAUAUAAUAUUAUACCAUAAUAUCCUGCAGAUUGUCAUCGUCUAUACCAUAGGAUCGCCUGAUUGCCGUCCAUUGUGACCUCUUUACAUUUUCAUAUUCCGAUUGCAGCCAGUUCCAAAGUAGGUAGAAAUUAAUGUUUUCUGUGGUUAUUGAAACUAAAUCAACAUCCCGAUUGUGUCUUACGUAUUUCUGCAUAAAUAUUACAUAUAGCGUAUUCACACGGACUUACAAUAUUUGGCGCGAACGGUAUGGUUUCUGGUCCAUUAAAGAAAAUAAACAGUGGACAAACUGGAAGAUUGCAAAGCUAGUUGGAUGCGGUGGUAAGUACAAAAAGUAAAAAAUGGCAAACCAUAACCAUUAUAAUUUAUUAUAUCAUAGUGUUGUUUAUUAUGUCAGUAUUACUAAUAUUUAAA